rnacentral:misc_RNA from 1 species
CACUUCUCAAACAGCAUGCUGUACUCAGUGCCUGAAUAAGAUCUCUACAAAGACCAUUUUUCAGUACUGACACAGUGUAUGGCAUUGGAAGACCACUUCCAUUACCAUAAAACACCAUUACUGUCAUUGAACGAGUGACAGUUGAAGGUAGUGGCAGUGACAAAUACAUAAAGGGAUCAAAAGUAAUUGAAAUUUUGCUGCAAACUGGGCAAACCAGCGUUGACUUGUAUUGACCUUGGCAGACAUC